ACUCCUGCGGGAGGCAGCAGUGGGGAAUUUUGGACAAUGGGCGAAAGCCUGAUCCAGCAAUGCCGCGUGUGUGAAGAAGGCCUUCGGGUUGUAAAGCACUUUUGUCCGGAAAGAAAUCCUUGGCUCUAAUACAGUCGGGGGAUGACGGUACCGGAAGAAUAAGCACCGGCUAACUACGUGCCAGCAGCCGCGGUAAUACGUAGGGUGCGAGCGUUAAUCGGAAUUACUGGGCGUAAAGCGUGCGCAGGCGGUUUGCUAAGACCGAUGUGAAAUCCCCGGGCUCAACCUGGGAACUGCAUUGGUGACUGGCAGGCUAGAGUAUGGCAGAGGGGGGUAGAAUUCCACGUGUAGCAGUGAAAUGCGUAGAGAUGUGGAGGAAUACCGAUGGCGAAGGCAGCCCCCUGGGCCAAUACUGACGCUCAUGCACGAAAGCGUGGGGAGCAAACAGGAUUAGAAACCCUUGUAGUCC
rnacentral:rRNA from 1 species